GGAAUAUUGGGCAAUGGGCGAAAGCCUGACCCAGCAACGCCGCGUGAAGGAUGACGGUCUUCGGAUUGUAAACUUCUUUAAUUGGGGAAGAACAAAAUGACCUACCCAAAGAAUAAGUCACGGCUAACUACGUGCCAGCAGCCGCGGUAAUACGUAGGUGACAAGCGUUAUCCGGAUUUACUGGGCGUAAAGGGCGUGUAGGCGGUCUUGCAAGUCAGAAGUGAAAUUCCUGAGCUCAACUCGGGCGCUGCUUCUGAAACUGCAGGACUUGAGUGCUGGAGGGGAUAGCGGAAUUCCUAGUGGAGCGGUAAAAUGCGCAGAUAUUAGGAAGAACACCGGUGGCGAAGGCGGCUAUCUGGACAGUAACUGACGCUGAGGCGCGAAAGCGUGGGGAGCAAACA
rnacentral:rRNA from 1 species